rnacentral:rRNA from 1 species
GACGAACGCUGGCGGCGUGCCUAAUACAUGCAAGUUGAGCGCUGAAGGUUGGUACUUGUACCAACUGGAUGAGCAGCGAACGGGUGAGUAACGCGUGGGGAAUCUGCCUUUGAGCGGGGGACAACAAUUGGAAACGAAUGCUAAUACCGCAUAAAAACUUUAAACACAAGUUUUAAGUUUGAAAGAUGCAAUUGCAUCACUCAAAGAUGAUCCCGCGUUGUAUUAGCUAGUUGGUGAGGUAAAGGCUCACCAAGGCGAUGAUACAUAGCCGACCUGAGAGGGUGAUCGGCCACAUUGGGACUGAGACACGGCCCAAACUCCUACGGGAGGCAGCAGUAGGGAAUCUUCGGCAAUGGACGAAAGUCUGACCGAGCAACGCCGCGUGAGUGAAGAAGGUUUUCGGAUCGUAAAACUCUGUUGGUAGAGAAGAACGUUGGUGAGAGUGGAAAGCUCAUCAAGUGACGGUAACUACCCAGAAAGGGACGGCUAACUACGCG